UACGGAGGGGGGCUAGCGUUGUUCGGAAUUACUGGGCGUAAAGCGCACGUAGGCGGCUUUGUAAGUUAGAGGUGAAAGCCCAGGGCUCAACCCUGGAAUUGCCUUUAAGACUGCAUCGCUUGAACAUCGGAGAGGUAAGUGGAAUUCCGAGUGUAGAGGUGAAAUUCGUAGAUAUUCGGAAGAACACCAGUGGCGAAGGCGACUUACUGGACGAUUGUUGACGCUGAGGUGCGAAAGCGUGGGGGAGCAAACAGG
rnacentral:rRNA from 1 species